UAGGGAAUCUUCCACAAUGGACGCAAGUCUGAUGGAGCAACGCCGCGUGAGUGAAGAAGGUUUUCGGAUCGUAAAGCUCUGUUGUUGGUGAAGAAGGAUAGAGGCAGUAACUGGUCUUUAUUUGACGGUAAUCAACCAGAAAGUCACGGCUAACUACGUGCCAGCAGCCGCGGUAAUACGUAGGUGGCAAGCGUUGUCCGGAUUUAUUGGGCGUAAAGCGAGCGCAGGCGGAAUGAUAAGUCUGAUGUGAAAGCCCACGGCUCAACCGUGGAACUGCAUCGGAAACUGUCAUUCUUGAGUGCAGAAGAGAAGAGUGGAAUUCAAUUUGUAGCGGUGGAAUGCGUAGAUAUAUGGAAGAACACCAGUGGCGAAGGCGGCUCUCUGGUCUGCAACUGACGCUGAGGCUCGAAAGCAUGGGUAGCGAACAGG
rnacentral:rRNA from 1 species